rnacentral:rRNA from 1 species
AGUGAACGCUGGCGGUAGGCCUAACACAUGCAAGUCGAACGGCAGCACAGUAAGAGCUUGCUCUUACGGGUGGCGAGUGGCGGACGGGUGAGGAAUACAUCGUAAUCUACUUUUUCGUGGGGGAUAACGUAGGGAAACUUACGCUAAUACCGCAUACGCCCUACGGGUGAAAGCAGGGGAUCUUCUGACCUUGCGCGAUUGAAUUAGCCGAUGUCGGCUUAGCUAGUUGGCGGGUUAAAGGCCCACCAAGGCGACGAUCCGUAGCUGGUCUGAGAGGAUGAUCAGCCACACUGGAACUGAGACACGGUCCAGACUCCUACGGGAGGCAGCAGUGGGGAAUAUUGGACAAUGGGCGCAAGCCUGAUCCAGCCAUACCGCGUGGGUGAAGAAGGCCUUCGGGUUGUAAAGCCCUUUUGUUGGGAAAGAAAAGCAGCAGGUUAAUACCCCGCUGUUCUGACGGUACCCAAAGAAUAAGCACCGGCUAACUUCGUG